UUGUUCUUUAGAUGAUAAAAGCAAACAUCUUUCUCUUUUAUGAGUGAGAGAAUUUGAGUCUCGUGUCAGAAAAAACUAGUAGGGAGUUUAUUUUGAAGAGUAUACUAUGUAAAAAUAAUUUUUUUUUUUUUUUUUUUUUUUUUUUUUUAGCCUCUAAGUUUUUAUUAACAUGAGUUUUCAAAAACAAGCAGCCACACUAUUGUGGGGGGUGAGGGUAGGAGAAGAGAGAAGGGCAAGGCAGGGGGGGAAGGAAUUCUGCUUUAUUGGUAAUAAAGCUCCAGGUUCAUCCCAUCAUGGAUUUCAUAUGCAUUUAACGCGGACCUUCUUCCCCAGACGGUCGUUGCAAACAACCUCGAUCAUCCUGUCUGGAGCAAGAAUCGCCUGGAACCAGCAGACGCCACAACCUCUUCGCUGGAAGGUAGAGCCUGGGACUGAACCAGAAUUUUCCAAGUGAACAAUGCAUGAUGGGACAAAACCUUGCAUGAGAUCUUUUCAAAGUGCUUAAUGGACCAAUGAGGUUUAAUGCACCAGGUGCUAGAGAAGGUCCCCUAGAGGGCAUAACUGUGAGCUGGACACAGAAAACUCCCCCACCUUGGAAUGUAUGUUCUGCCCACUGUUCCCACAAUAGGAGCCACUCCAGGCCUUGAGAGAGUAAUGUGUUACCAAGACCACCUGAACUGUACAUGUGACUGAACAUCUUAAGGCCUUUAUAUAAACUCUUCCUCUUACAGCAGCAGAGAGAGCCACUCAUCUUUGAGACCAACCUCAUAGUCAAGUUCCCUUGCCUAUGAAAGCUGCCACCUACCAAUCUGGGGUGGCCUGCCUCUUUCUUCAGUCCCUCCUUGCCCUCUGUGUACUGACUGCAUGCAUGCCCAGCUGAAGGGUUUGGUGGUCCUAUCUAGCCUUAACCAACUCUGCUCCAACUAUAUGCAGCAGACUCCACAUGGAGUUCUGAAUUUAGCAAAAGUGUUCUUUAUACAAGAAAGUCUUCCAGGACACUCCUAGUCUGGACUCUGCUCUCUUUGCGAGCCUCAGCUACCUUUUGCACGCAUCUAUUGGAAGUUAUUCUAUGGCUGUUGGUUUAGUUGCCUAUCUCCUCCACUAGAUUGUACUCUCUCUGUGAAGAGCCAGUUUUGACUUUCACCAGGGCACUCCCCAGGUUGCAAACCAGCACUAGGGUAGGAAAAGUUCAUUGAUGUGAUUUCAGGUUUCACACUGUAAACUCUUACCAAAUCAGGUUCUUCUUGCUUGACCCACGGCAAGUCAAAAGGCUGAGGCACCGAGGUUUUAUUGGCCAGAGAGGAUUUAUUGGCAAGACAGCCAAGUGAGGAGAUGGGAGAACAGAGCUCAACAGCUUUGGGAGUAUUUAUGGGGUAAUGAAUAAAGAAGCAGGGUGGUCUGAGGCAUGGGGAAUAUGGGGAAAGGUGAUUGGAAAAGCAUUCAAUGAUCUUUGUUCUGUGCAGGUGUAACUAAGUUAGAGGCCGCCGCACUUUGGAAAGGUUGCCAAGGACAUGCAGGCACGCCCAAAUGGAGAGUUGGUGGUCCUAUCCAGUCUCAGCCUGCUCAGCUAGAACUAGAUGCAGCUGACUCUAAGUUUCCAGAAAACAACUCAGGCAAAUAUCUUAUUGUUUAGGCUACAUGCAGCUUAGAGAACAUGCAAAUCUUAUAAUGACUUUGAUGAAUGAAGACAGGUAAAAUGGAUUUAACCCACAGUUUCACAAUUAGUUUAAAAACAAAAACAAAAACAAACAAAAAAAAAACAGAAACACUUGCAUUGUUAUUUUAAAAUGAAUUCACACAGAAAUGUUGGAAAAUGUAUUGGUUUCAAUUUCUUCCAUGAUAAACUUUGGUAGAAAUAAUCCACAUAAACAAACAUUUUUUGGCAUCCUCAAUGAUGUUUUCCAGCUCUACUGAGGGGUAAUUAAGGGUUAAAACAUGGAUCUAUUUAAAACAAAUUAAGUUUUGAUGCACAUGUACAUUGAGAAAUGACAGCCACAACCAAGCUGCUUAACAUAUUCCUUACUUCACAGUUACUUUGUGGGUUUGUGUGUUGUGCUAAGAACACUUAAGAUCUACUCUCAGCAAAUUUCAAAUAUACAAGAGUGUUAUUAACAUAGUCACCAUGCUUUACAUUAGACUUCCAGAACUUAUAACUGAAAGUUUGUACCUUUUAACCAACGUCUCCCCAUAGCCCCCUCCACCACCACUCCUCCUCCCCGCCAGCCCCUAGUAACCAUCAUUCUAUACUCUAUGCAAAAAUUUGACAUUUUUAGAUUUCACAUUUAAGUGAACUCAUACAGUACUUGUCUUUAUCUGGCUAAUUACACUUAGCACAAUAUCCUAGUUUCAUCCAUGUCACUGCAAAUGGCAGAAUUUCCUUCUUUAUGGCUGAAUAAUAUUCCUUCACAUACAUAUCACAUUUUAAAAUCCAUUCAUCAGAGGGAUCCUGAGGUAGAGGAGUUUGAGAAGCCCUCCCUUAAUCUUUUUUAUUUCCUGCUCAGAAUGUAGUGUCCGGUAAAAUUACACCUAGGCAAGGCAGUUCCUAUGAAGAUUAAGGCAGGAGUUCUAAAACUGUUUUGUGUCAGGAGCACAUUACACUCUUAAAAAAAAUAAUGUGGGGCAGGAGUUGGUUCUUUGUUUCUUGAAAUUUGAAAUUGUUGCCUGCUCUGGAAAAAUAUAUAGCUCCUGAUUUAUUCUGAACCUCAUGCCAGCACGUUAAUUUGUCUAGUUCUGAGCACAAAGCAAAGAAGGGUACAUUUUCCUCUCCAGCACCCUGAGACAAAGCACAGAUUCCUGUCUCAUAUGAAGGGAACUCUCCUGCCUCCCAAACAAGGGUCUGUUCCAAACACUUACUCACAUUUCAGUGAGUCAGAAGGAAACAGACAGAUAUUCAUCUCAUGAAACCUGGCUGACUUCCUGCAAGAAGUCUGUGAGGAGAGUUAAGAUUGGGUGUCAGGGUUAGUGGAGCCCCCACCCAGGAGCUCUCAGGUGCUAUGUGGUGUCUUAGUAAGCAGGUGAGUACCAUAUACCAGGCAGAAAAAAAAUGCCUUCAAGUGUCAGGAUUAGUAACUAGAGCUAGUAAGUGAAAGAUAAGAAAGCAGGAAAGAACCAGGGGUGAUACAUUGGGUAUUGAAUGUAUUGAAUGUAGAGUCAUGAUUACAAGCAGUAGCACCUGGUGAAUACCAAUUUAAUGCUUGAACAACUGGAGACUCCAGCCCUAGCUAUGGUAAAGGGGAGUAUUUGAUUUUUACCAAGUCCUCCCAGUCUUGAACCACUUUGCCUCUUAGUGGCAGAAUCCCAAGCAUCCCAACUUCAUAGUACCUGCCCCAUAAAGAUUUUGAAUGGUGAUAAUAAAAAUAAUUAGACUAGUAACUCCUUAAGCUUAAUUUAUUAAUCCAUUUGAUUAUUCACCAAAGUAGUCAGUGUAAGGAGUCUGGUCUCCGCAGUGUGCCAGGCAUCUGUUGGUGAACUUUCAGAGGAAUAAUCAGAUUUGGAGAAAAAUGAAUAUCCUAUUUCUUAGGUUGGGAAGUAAAAAUCUCAGAAGUGGUUAUAGAGUGUUUUCUUUCCAGAUCUGAGCCUGAAAUAAUGGAAGAAAAUGCUCACGGUGUAAUACAAAGAGGAAGAGUCACGAGUUCAUGUGGGAGCCCUCACUCUUCUCGGUGUCUUGAAGUAAAUCACUUAAAGUAGGUAAUCAAAUCAUCUCCUUAUUGUGGAGGAGAGGACGGAAUGAGGAUUUAUAACACACACUCACAGCGCUCUCGCAGCAGCUCUUGCUUAAAUAUCACUUCGGGAUAAUCAUAACUUGUGGG
rnacentral:lncRNA from 1 species